rnacentral:sRNA from 1 species
CAAAUGUAUUCGCUGAAUCCUUGAAUGGAAAAGGAACGGGGGAACCAAUCGACUGUCAAGCUUUUGACGUCAUGGGGUGAAUCUCAGUGACAUAACUCUAUGUACUGAGUAGGGCGACUCUCACGCCCGAAUCCGUCAGCUAACCUCGUAAGCGUGUAGAGAGGCAAC